GAGAAAACAAAAUUGGAAUGCACAGAAAAAAGAUUCUGUUUUGCACAAAAUUAGAGAUGAAUUGAAUAGAAUGACAGCACAACAUGAUCAAGGUACUGCCCAGACUGAAAUGAUGGAGGAAAACAUGAAAAGAUUACUGAAAUGGCAAAGCGAAGUUGAAAUUAAUCGUCGCUCCUUAGAAGAGAAAAGAAAAGAACGGGAAAAGGAAGUAUUACGUCAGCUCCGUGCCUUAGAGACAGUGGCUCAGCAGGCCAAGGAGAUCAUACUGAACCAGGACUUGCAGCAAGCCAAG